rnacentral:rRNA from 1 species
AUUGAACGCUGGCGGCAGGCCUAACACAUGCAAGUCGAGCGGAUGAAGGGAGCUUGCUCCUGGAUUCAGCGGCGGACGGGUGAGUAAUGCCUAGGAAUCUGCCUGGUAGUGGGGGAUAACGUCCGGAAACGGGCGCUAAUACCGCAUACGUCCAGAGGGAGAAAGUGGGGGAUCUUCGGACCUCACGCUAUCAGAUGAGCCUAGGUCGGAUUAGCUAGGUUGUGGGGUAAAGGCCUACCAAGGCGACGAUCCGUAACUGGUCUGAGAGGAUGAUCAGUCACACUGGAACUGAGACACGGUCCAGACUCCUACGGGAGGCAGCAGUGGGGAAUAUUGGACAAUGGGCGAAAGCCUGAUCCAGCCAUGCCGCGUGUGUGAAGAAGGUCUUCGGAUUGUAAAGCACUUUAAGUUGGGAGGAAGGGCAGUAAGUUAAUACCUUGCUGUUUUGACGUUACCAACAGAAUAAGCACCGGCUAACUUCGUG